CCACAUUGGGACUGAGAUACGGCCCAGACUCCUACGGGAGGCAGCAGUGGGGAAUAUUGCACAAUGGGCGCAAGCCUGAUGCAGCGACGCCGCGUGCGGGAUGACGGCCUUCGGGUUGUAAACCGCUUUUGACUGGGAGCAAGCCCUUCGGGGUGAGUGUACCUUUCGAAUAAGCACCGGCUAACUACGUGCCAGCAGCCGCGGUAAUACGUAGGGUGCAAGCGUUAUCCGGAAUUAUUGGGCGUAAAGGGCUCGUAGGCGGUUCGUCGCGUCCGGUGUGAAAGUCCAUCGCUUAACGGUGGAUCCGCGCCGGGUACGGGCGGGCUUGAGUGCGGUAGGGGAGACUGGAAUUCCCGGUGUAACGGUGGAAUGUGUAGAUAUCGGGAAGAACACCAAUGGCGAAGGCAGGUCUCUGGGCCGUUACUGACGCUGAGGAGCGAAAGCGUGGGGAGCGAACAGGAUUAGAUACCCUGGUAGUCCACGCCGUAAACGGUGGAUGCUGGAUGUGGGGCCCGUUCCACGGGUUCCGUGUCGGAGCUAACGCGUUAAGCAUCCCGCCUGGGGAGUACGGCCGCAAGGCUAAAACUCAAAGAAAUUGACGGGGGCCCGCACAAGCGGCGGAGCAUGCGGAUUAAUUCGAUGCAACGCGAAGAACCUUACCUGGGCUUGACAUGUUCCCGACAGCCGUAGAGAUACGGUCUCCCUUCGGGGCGGGUUCACAGGUGGUGCAUGGUCGUCGUCAGCUCGUGUCGUGAGAUGUUGGGUUAAGUCCCGCAACGAGCGCAACCCUCGCCCUGUGUUGCCAGCACGUCGUGGUGGGAACUCACGGGGGACCGCCGGGGUCAACUCGGAGGAAGGUGGGGAUGACGUCAGAUCAUCAUGCCCCUUACGUCCAGGGCUUCACGCAUGCUACAAUGGCCGGUACAACGGGAUGCGACCUCGUGAGGGGGAGCGGAUCCCUUAAAACCGGUCUCAGUUCGGAUUGGAGUCUGCAACCCGACUCCAUGAAGGCGGAGUCGCUAGUAAUCGCGGAUCAGCAACGCCGCGGUGAAUGCGUUCCCGGGCCUUGUACACACCGCCCGUCAAGUCAUGAAAGUGGGUAGCACCCGAAGCCGGUGGCCCAACCUUUUGGGGGGAGCCGUCUAAGGUGAGACUCGUGAUUGGGACUAAGUCGUAACAAGGUAGCCGUACCGGAAGGUGCGGCUG
rnacentral:rRNA from 1 species